GCCCGCUUGGCUCAGUGGUAGAGCGUGUCAGCAGUAUCGUCCCUAAGAAAUUAUCUCUAGAACAGUAUUGUUAAUGGCAAGAUCCUCAGUUCGAUUCUGAGAGUGGGUA